rnacentral:rRNA from 1 species
AUGAAUGUCCUAAGCUGGAACUGCUGAGGGCUUGGGAACCCUUGGACAGUUCGUGAGCUUUGCAAGUUAGUGAAGCAAGAAGGGCCUGCCCUGUUAUUUGUCAUGGAGACGAAAAUCAGGGGCAAGCAUGUGGAAGAUUUGAAAGCCACAUUAGGUUUUUCAGGAUGAUUUGCCGUCGAUAGUGAUGGGCUGAGCGGAGGUAUCGGUCUUUUUUGGUCAAACGAUGUCGAUGUAACUUUGGAAAAUUAUAGUUUGUCUCACAUUGAUGUGAAAGUUCAGCAAAAUAAUAUAAGCUGGCGCUUCACAGGCUUCUAUGGUGAACCUCGGGUUGAGAAUAGACAUCAUAGCUGGAGGUUUCUACGUACCUUGUUUGCUGUUCAGCAUGAAUCAUGGAUAUGUACGGGCGAUUUUAAUGAAACUUUGCAUGCGGACGAGCACUUUGGGGUGAAUGCAAGACCGGAAGGACAAAUGAGGGGCUUCCAGGAAGCAUUUUCAGAUUGCGCACUUCAGGAUUUGGGGUGGCGCGUAGUCCCUUUUACAUGGGAUAAUAAACAACAAGGAAACAUGAAUGUCAAAGCAAGAUUCGAUAGUGCUCUUGCAACUCGGCCUUCCUUCGUUUGUUUGAGUUUACAAAUGUAA